UGGACAUGAAUCACCAUGGAUCUGGUUACGUUGCAGAUUCUGACUCAGCAGGUCUGAGGCGGGGCCUGACAUUCUGCACGGCUGGCCUGCUCCGGGCGCUGCUGAUGCUGCUGGUUCCUGGACCACCCUUGAGACCCUGGAUGACCUCUGAGGUGCUGCCUCCUUGCAAAAACCCUCAGCUCUUGGGACCUCUCCCUGCGCUUCCGAAGCCCUUUCAGAUAUUUUCCUGUAGCCCUCACAAAGAGCUUGGGGUUGCGGUUUCUGCCGCUGUUGACUCUCACGUGGGGUUGUCAUGUCAGGGAAACAUGGAAAGGAAGGGAGGUGAAAAGAGACAAUAGGAAAACCGUAGGCUGUGACGGGAAAAAAUGAAACAGAUGAGUGAGAAGAAAAGUCCAAGAGCCAGGAUGACGGCGCAGUGAUGGCUCACUUUGCGUUGCUGUUCCGUCCACUGUUCCACUGACUGUGAACUCUGUCAGAGUAGGGAGAUUUUUUUGAAACUCAUAAACUUUCAAGAACAUGAGAGGAGAACAGCAGCACAGUCUGGGAGUCUGAGCAACAGAUGGACGAGUGGUAACUGCUUUAGCAGAUUUGGGAAGGCUGAAUCCCCAGCUGGUGGUUGAGAAAAUGGAAAAUCAACUCCAUGUACGCAGCUGAAUCCUCAAAACACGCAGGAGUGGGUGGCACCAGGUUGUCUGAGCUCCACAUCCUCCAAGACCGAGUUGAAAUGUUACCUUCCUGAAGAGCCUUCCUGAUUCCUAAGGGGAUUGCUCACCUCUCGUUUAUGCCUCCAUUGGGCAUUGAUUACGGAUGGCGGAGCAACCAGGAGGCUUCUAAGGGCUUCAUCCUGUAGGCGAGAUCGAUGAGGCGCCCACUGUUCUCAUCGGCAGCACUGCAAUGGUAUUUCCCAGACCACACUGGUAGCAGGUUGAAGCCCUAACCCACAACGUGACUGUAUUUGGAGCUAGGGCCUGUAGGAAGGAAUUAAGGUUAAAGGAGGCCAUCAGUGUCCUUAUAAAAAGAAGCCACACCAGGAGUGCACACACAGAGAAAAGGCCAUGAAGACAUAGUGAUAAGGCGCCAUCUGCAAGCCAAGGAUAGAGGCCCCAGGUGAAACUAACCUGCCAGCACCUUGAUCUUGGACUUCCAGCCUCUGAAACCAUGGGAAAUUACAUUUCUGUUGUUUAAGCCCCCGAGUCUGGCAUUUUCCGAUGGCAGCCCUACCUGAUGAGUACAUCUACUCGUUAGCCAGCCCUAGUUCCUUUCCUCUGCUGGCAGAAUCUGCAUCCUAUCCCAGAUGGAAAACACUGGUGACUUGCUGUCCCAGCCUCCCUUGCCACCCAGACUGGGCAUGUGAUCCAGUCCCAGCCAAUGAGACAUAAAUGGAAGUCUCCUGGGGCUUCUGGAAAAGAUGAGAGAGAUGGAUGUCUGAGAAGAACCACUCACCCUCUUGAUGCGUAUGAAUUUUAUCACAUGAGGAAGUGAAGCUGGAGCUGCCACAGUUGUCUUAAGACCCUUUGGGAGGCCAAGAGCAGCGCAAGGGAGGGGUCUUAGAGCCUCAAUGCAGUGCAGCUGCUGAACCAACCCUGGAAACUGCUUACCCCUACACUCCUUGUUCAGGGUCGCAGGUAUCGGAGACUCUCCCAGCAGCUCAAGGCGCAAGGCGGGAACCUACCCUGGACAAGAUGCCAUCUAACACAAGACUCACUCACACACACAGCCACACCCGCUCACACGGGACAAUGGAGACCCACUAAUCCACCUAAUUGCACAGCUUUGUGGGAAGAAACUGGAGUACCUCAAGGAAACGCAGGUGGACAAAGGGAGAAGGUGCAAACUUCACCUGGAUGGUGGCCCCUGCCGGGAAUCAAUUGUUUUUUCUUUGUCAACGUUAUAGCGAAACAUCAUCAAAUGAAAUGACAUUCAAGGACCUGC
rnacentral:lncRNA from 1 species